rnacentral:rRNA from 1 species
CAAGUCGAACGUGAAAGUCCUUCGGGGCGAGUAAAGUGGCGCACGGGUGAGUAACGCGUGGAUAAUCUACCCUUAAGAUGGGGAUAACGGCUGGAAACGGUCGCUAAUACCGAAUACGCUCCCGAUUUUAUCGUUGGGGGAAAGAUGGCCUCUGCUUGCAAGCUAUCGCUUAAGGAUGAGUCCGCGUCCCAUUAGCUAGUUGGCGGGGUAACGGCCCACCAAGGCGACGAUCAGUAGCCGGACUGAGAGGUUGACCGGCCACAUUGGGACUGAGAUACGGCCCAGACUCC